GUAACCGGCGCCGCCCGGAGCCCGAGCCGCGCGGGCCCCAGCGACCCGCCCGCCAUGGGGGACGAGGACGAGGAUGAGAGCUGCGCCGUGGAGCUGCGGAUCACAGAAGCCAACCUGACCGGACACGAGGAGAAGGUGAGCGUGGAGAACUUCGAGCUGCUCAAGGUGCUGGGCACGGGAGCCUACGGCAAAGUGUUCCUGGUGCGGAAGGCGGGCGGGCACGACGCGGGGAAGCUGUACGCCAUGAAGGUGCUGCGCAAGGCGGCGCUGGUGCAGCGCGCCAAGACGCAGGAGCACACGCGCACCGAGCGCUCGGUGCUGGAGCUGGUGCGCCAGGCGCCCUUCCUGGUCACGCUGCACUACGCUUUCCAGACGGAUGCCAAGCUGCACCUCAUCCUGGACUAUGUGAGCGGCGGGGAGAUGUUCACCCACCUCUACCAGCGCCAGUAUUUCAAGGAGGCUGAGGUGCGCGUGUAUGGGGGUGAGAUCGUGCUGGCCCUGGAACACCUGCAUAAGGUGGGUGAAGACCUGGCCGCAGGCUGUUGCUGUGGAAAC
rnacentral:sRNA from 1 species